CACUCCAGCAGGUAUAUUUCACUGGUCACCCCCAAAGCCAAUUCUUCCUUUGGCCGCCUUUCCUUCCAGUUCUCUGCUGCCAACGACUGGAACGAACUGCAAAAAUCGCUGAAGCUGGAGACUCUUAUCUCCCUCACUAACAUCAAGCAUCAGCUGUCAGAGCAGCUCACAGAUCAUUGGACCUGUAAAUAGCCCAUCCAACUACCUCAUCCCCAUACGGUAUUUAUUUAUUUAUUUUUGCUCCUUUGCACCCCAGUAUCUUUACUUGCACAUUCAUCUUCUGCACAUCUAUCACUCCAGGGUUUAAUUGCUAUAUCGUAUUUACCUCGCCACUAUGGCCUAUUUGAUUGUCUUACCUCCCGUAUUUUACCUCAUUUGCACACACUGUAUAUGUACUUUUUUCUACUGUAUUAUCGACGGUAUGUUUGUUUAUUCCAUGUGUAAGUCUGUGUUGUUGUUUGUGUUGCACUGAUUUGCUUUAUCUUGACCAGUUCGCAGUUGUAAAUGAGAACUUUUUCCAACUAGCCUACCUGGUUAAAUCAAGGUGAAUUAAAAAAAUUAUUAUAAUAAUAAAACAUGACCCUGCAAAUGUUGUUAUAAAGCUAUACCCAAUAUCACUGUGUGGAGGCGGCAUGGCCUACCAACAAGAGAGGAAAAGGAGCUGUCGGAAGCUGAGUCUGACCACCCAGGCCCUGAGGUACCUCCUCCCUAGCCCCUCUCCAGUGGAUAUGAUGACUGACAGGCUGGGAGAGCAGGGAGACACAGAGCCACCUAAUGACGAUCCGCCUCUUAUAGCUGAGGAGAAACACUGGACUCCGGCACAAUCCCCAUCCAAGGAGAGCUCUGAAUCUAUGUUCUCUUUCAGCGCUGCCUCCUCUCUGCUCCCGCUGAGAUGGGGCAUCCCUUAUUAAGCACAGUGAUGCUGCAGCAGAUCUCCUCCCUGGAGGAUGGUGUCACAGCAGGCAGGAUGACAGCCCAUCCCUCCCAGCAGACAUACUCCACCCAGGCUGCCCUGACACUAGAGGGCGCCACAGACCCUGUCUCAUUCAACAGCCUGAGUAAAGACACCAGGAAUGUUUAUUUUUUUCACCUUUAUUUAACCAGGUAGGCUAGUUGAGAACCAGGUCUCAUUAGCAACUGCGACCUGGCCAAGAUAAAGCAUAGCAAUUCAACACAUACAACAACACAGAGUUACACAUAGAAUAAACAAAACAUACAGUCAAUAAUACAGUAGAACAAAAGAAAACAAAAAGUCUAUAUACAGUGAGUGCAAAUGAGGUAAGAUAAGGGAGUUAAGGCAAUAAAUUGGCCAUGGUGGCGAAGUAAUUACAAUAUAGAAAUUAAACAUUGGAAUGGUAGAUGUGCAGAAGAUGAAUGUGCAAGUAGAGAUGCUGGGGUGCAAAGGAGCAAGAUAAAUACUGUAUGGGGAUGAGGUAGGUAGAUAGAUGGGCUGUUUACAGAUGGGCUAUAUACAGGUGCAGUGAUCUGUGAGCUGCUCUGACAGCUGGUGCUUAAAGCUAGUGAGGGAGAUAUGAGUCUCCAGCUUCAGAGAUUUUUGCAGUUCGUUCCAGUCAUUGGCAGCAGAGAACUGGAAGGAAAGACAACCAAAGUAGGAAUUGGCUUUGGGGGUGACCAGUGAGAUAUACCUGCUGGAGCGCAUGCUACGAGUGGGUGCUGCUAUGGUGACCAGUGAGCUGAGAUAAGGCGGGGCUUUACCUAGCAGAGACUUGUAGAUAACCUGUAGCCAGUGGGUUUGGCGACGAGUAUGAAGCGAGGGCCAACCAACAAGAGCGUACAGGUCGCAAUGGUGGGUUGUGUCUGGGGCUUUGGUGACAAAGCGGAUGGCACUGUGAUAGACUGCAUUUGUUGAGUAGAGUGUUGGAAGCUAUUUUAUAGAUGACAUCGCCGAAGUCGAGGAUCGGUAGGAUGGUCAGUUUUACGAGGGUAUGUUUAGCAGCAUGAGUGAAGGAUGCUUUGUUGCGAUAUAGGAAGCCAAUUCUAGAUUUAAUUUUGGAUUAGAGAUGCUUACUGUGAGUCUGGAAGGAGAGUUUACAGUCUAACCAGACACCUAGGUAUUUGUAGUUAUCCACGUAUUCUAAGUCAGAGCCAUCCAGAGUAGCAUGCAUUUAGUUUUACUUGCGUUUAAGAGCAGUUGGAGGCCACGGAAGGAGAGUUGUAAUGGCAUUCUCCACUGAGUGUGAGUUCAGAUGCACUGACUGGAGCUGUAUGAUACUCAAGAUUUAAGUUGUCAACUCUUUUUGAAAUAAAGUUGUUGAAUAUUACCCCAAAAUAACAUUUUCUGGUUUUCUGAGUUGUUGAAUAUUACCCCAACAUAACAUUUUCUGGUUUUCUGAGUUGUUGAAUAUUACCCCAACAUAACAUUUUCUGGUUUUCUGAGUUGUUGAAUAUUACCCCAACAUUUUCUGGUUUUCUGAGUUGUUGAAUAUUACCCCAACAUAACAUUUUCUGGUUUUCUGAGUUGUUGAAUAUUACCCCAACAUAACAUUUUCUGGUUUUCUGAGUUGUUGAAUAUUACCCCAACAUAACAUUUUCUGGUUUUCUGAGUUGUUGAAUAUUACCCCAACAUAACAUUUUCUGGUUUUCUGAGUUGUUGAAAGUGUGUGUUUCCAUUGGGGGGAGUAGAGGAGAUCAUGACCUGUGAUACCAGGAGACAACCUCGUAAUUGUGGAAGAGGAGGCAGUUCC
ensembl:lncRNA